rnacentral:rRNA from 1 species
CCCUUAGAUGUUCUGGGCUGCACGCGCGCUACAAUGUCAUGAAAACCGGGAUGCUUUAACGAAAUUUAUUGCGAAACCCCAACUCAUGACGCGACUGGGAUUGACGUUUUUAAUUAUUCGUCAUGAACGAGGAAUUCCUAGUAAACGCGAAUCAUCAGUUCGUGUUGAUUAUGUCCCUGCCCUUUGUACACACCGCCCGUCGCUCCUACCGAUUGGGCGUUUUGGUGAGCACUCUGGAGUGCAGCAAUGCAUAAAUGAAUGCAAACCUGAGCGUUUAGAGGAAGGAUAAGUCGUAACA